rnacentral:rRNA from 1 species
GUGCCAGCAGCCGCGGUAAUACGGAGGGUGCGAGCGUUGUUCGGAAUCACUGGGCGUAAAGGGCGCGCAGGCGGUUUUAUAAGUCAGAUGUGAAAGCCCACGGCUUAACUGUGGAAGAGCAUUUGAAACUGUAAGACUUGAGUACCAGAGGGGAAGGUGGAAUUCCCGGUGUAGAGGUGAAAUUCGUAGAUAUCGGGAGGAAUACCGGUGGCGAAGGCGACCUUCUGGCUGGAUACUGACGCUGAGGCGCGAAAGCGUGGGGAGCAAACAGGAUUAGAUACCCCUGUAGUCC